GACGAACGCUGGCAGCGUGCCUAAUACAUGCAAGUCGAGCGAAGUUUUUCUGGUGCUUGCACUAGAAAAACUUAGCGGCGAACGGGUGAGUAACACGUAAAGAACCUGCCUCAUAGACUGGGACAACUAUUGGAAACGAUAGCUAAUACCGGAUAACAGUAUUUCUCGCAUGAGAGAUAUUUAAAAGUUGGUUAUGCUAACACUAUGAGAUGGCUUUGCGGUGCAUUAGCUAGUUGGUGGGGUAAAGGCCCACCAAGGCGACGAUGCAUAGCCGACCUGAGAGGGUGAUCGGCCACACUGGGACUGAGACACGGCCCAGACUCCUACGGGAGGCAGCAGUAGGGAAUCUUCCGCAAUGGGCGAAAGCCUGACGGAGCAACGCCGCGUGAGUGAAGAAGGAUUUCGGUUCGUAAAGCUCUGUUGUUAGGGAAGAAUGGAUAUGUAGUAACUAUACAUGUAAGAGACGGUACCUAACCAGAAAGCCACGGCUAACUACGU
rnacentral:rRNA from 1 species